rnacentral:lncRNA from 1 species
GAAAUGCUAAGGAAAGUCGGAAUCCGAUAAAAGGUUAAUACCGGAGACCAUAAGAUUGGUUGUGGGGGGGGUGCAUAUGGGUUCGAUAGUUGCAUGAGCAUGAUCAUAUGCAUAACUUUGUCCGGAAGGAUUGUUCGGAGAAAAGGGGACGCGGCUCGGCGAGUGGAAUGAUUGAUGAUACUCGACCGAACUGAUGCGCGGACUACCUCUCUACUGAACUUUUGAACGGGCAGAGUUGUUAGUGUAACUUAGCGAGCAUUGCAUGCAAGACGAUGGUGAUGAAGUGAACAUGUUACUGAUUUCCUAUGUGGUUUUCAGGGAAAGAAAGUGAUCGAGGGGAUGAAAGGGCUUAGGCGCGAGGACUCAAGGCCGGGAAGAUGAGUGGUGAUGGAUGCUGGGUAGUUAGAUCGAUUAUACAACUUGUAAUAGCUUAUAUGAAAACUCAUAAGUUGUAUCGAAUCCUUACUUAUUAAUAAAGUAUUUGAA